rnacentral:rRNA from 1 species
CCUACGGGUGGCAGCAGUGAGGAAUAUUGGUCAAUGGACGAGAGUCUGAACCAGCCAAGUAGCGUGAAGGAUGACUGUCCUAUGGGUUGUAAACUUCUUUUAUAAAGGAAUAAAACGAGGCACGUGUGCCUUUUUGCAUGUACUUUAUGAAUAAGGAUCGGCUAACUCCGUGCCAGCAGCCGCGGUAAUACGGAGGAUCCGAGCGUUAUCCGGAUUUAUUGGGUUUAAAGGGAGCGUAGAUGGGUUGUUAAGUCAGUUGUGAAAGUUUGCGGCUCAACCCCAUCCAGCCGUUGAAACUGGGGAUCUAGAGUGUGCGAGAGGUAUGCGGAAUGCGUGGUGUAGCGGUGAAAUGCAUAGAUAUCACGCAGAACCCCGAUUGCGAAGGCAGCAUACCGGUGCACAACUGACGCUCAGGCACGAAAGCGUGGGUAUCGAACAGGAUUAGAUACCCCUGUAGUC